CAGUAGCCGCGGGAAUACGGAGGGUGCAAGCGUUAAUCGGAAUUACUGGGCGUAAAGCGCACGCAGGCGGUCUGACAAGUCAGAUGUGAAAUCCCCGGGCUUAACCUGGGAACUGCAUUUGAAACUGUCAGGCUGGAGUCUUGUAGAGGGGGGUGGAAUUCCAGGUGUAGCGGUGAAAUGCGUAGAGAUCUGGAGGAAUACCGGUGGCGAAGGCGGCCCCCUGGACAAAGACUGACGCUCAGGUGCGAAAGCGUGGGGAGCAAACAGGAUUAGAACCCGAGUAGUCCCUGUCUCUUAUACA
rnacentral:rRNA from 1 species